UACGGGGGAGCAAGCGUUGUUCGGAUUUACUGGGCGUAAAGGGCGCGUAGGCGGUCGUGACAAGUCACUUGUGAAAUCUCCGGGCUUAACUCGGAACGGUCAAGUGAUACUGUCGGACUAGAGUGCAGAAGGGGCAACUGGAAUUCUCGGUGUAGCGGUGAAAUGCGUAGAUAUCGAGAGGAACACCUGCGGCGAAGGCGGGUUGCUGGGCUGACACUGACGCUGAGGCGCGAAAGCUAGGGGAGCGAACGGG
rnacentral:rRNA from 1 species